AGCAGCCGCGGUAAUUCCAGCUCCAAUAGCGUAUAUUAAAGUUGUUGCCGUUAAAAAGCUCGUAGUUGAACCUUGGGCCUGGCUGACCUGUCCUCCUAAUCGAGCGCACGGGUUCGGUCGGGCCUUUCCUUCUGGGGAUCCCGAUGCCCUUCACUGGGCGUCGUGGGGAACCAGGACUUUUACCUUGAAAAAAUUAGAGUGUUCAAAGCAGGCCUUCGCUCGAAUACAUUAGCAUGGAAUAAUAGAAUAGGACAGAGGUUCUAUUUUGUUGGUUUCUAGGACCGCUGUAAUGAUUAAUAGGGAUAGUCGGGGGCGUCCGUAUUCAAUUGUCAGAGGUGAAAUUCUUGGAUUUAUUGAAGACGAACUACUGCGAAAGCAUUCGCCAAGGAUGUUUUCAUUAAUCAGUGAACGAAAGUUAGGGGAUCGAAGACGAUCAGAUACCGUCGUAGUCUUAACCAUAAACUAUGCCGACUAGGGAUCGGACGGUGGUUUUUUUANACCNCG
rnacentral:rRNA from 1 species